AGAAUUUUAAAGCCCGUAGCCCAACCCAAGCUCCAUCCCUUUCUCAUUCCUGUAUUUUAUUUUUCUUGUUUAUUCUCGAAUGAAACACACCCUUCCCAGCAUAUUGGCCAUGUAUUUGUUGCAGACAGGCAAAUCCCAUCCCAGCGUGUUCUGGUUUUGCAGGGUUUAAUUGUUGCUGAGUGGAGAAUUGUAAGCAGCUCACAAAAAAGUGCACAAUUUUGGCACCAAAUCUUCACCACCACCAGGCUUUAAAUCCUGGUUUCGAACCAAGGCUCUUCUGCGUAGGAACUUCUGCUUCGGUCGGUUGAAUAUUAUUGGGUUGUCAAAUUAAAAUGGGCAGCAAAAGCAAGAGAAAGAAGCAUUUUGACGACACAAGCGACGACGAUUCGUCAUUGUCGUCUUCUUCAAGCUCUGAGGAAUCUGAACGCUCUUCAAAGAGGAACCGGCGCCACCGCCACAGAAAAGAUGAUAAUUCGAGAAGAGAGAAAGAAAGGAGAAGGGAAAGGAGAGAGAAACGGAGAAGCAAGAGAGAGACGAGGAGAAGGAAAUCCAAAAAGGAGGACAAUAAGAAGAGGGCUUAUGGGGUUGAUGAUGACUCUGGUUCUGGGGGGUCUUUAAGUGGUGAUGAUUCAGACCCAGGUAUGGGAAUGAUUUGAAACAGCUUUUAGAAAUGAUUGAUGGUGGGCAAGCAGUUGACAUCAAGGGAAUAUCAGAAAGAUCUUUGAUUAAGCAUCUAAGGAAGUUGUUCCUUGCAUUAAACCUGAAGCAAAAUGAUGGAGUUUUUUUGCUGCCUUCAAAUGUUCGUCCCACUUUGGAGGUUGUUGGGCUCAUGAUUCAAACAUCCUUAGAACCUAAAUCUGGACAGAAUGAGAUGCAUCCAAAACAACUGGAUGAGGAACACAGACAAGUGGCUGGUGAAAAUAAUAGGACAGUGCCAUGCAUGGAGGAUGAUGAUACUGGUCCCAAAAGAAGGGUAAUUGGCCCUGCGAUGCCAUCAGCUGAGUUACUUGCUGCUGCAGCGAAAUUGACAGAUGCACAGGCUGAGCUCAGAGAAGCUGAGUUGGAAGAAGAUAGUGAAUUUUUUAUAGGACCUCCACCGCCUGCUAUGGUUGCUGAAACUGCUUCAGCUAAUGAAGCUGAGCGGUUCGAAGAGGUUACAAGGAUCAUGGAUGCCGCGGAUGAUAGUCUAUAUGAUAUUCUAGGAGCAAACCAAAAUAUGUCUGCUGAGAAUAUAAAGAAAAGGUAUUGGAAGAUGUCUCUUUUGGUGCAUCCUGAUAAAUGCUCGCAUCCUCAAGCUCAACAAGCAUUUGUUAAGUUGAAUAAAGCUUUUAAAGAAUUACAAGAUCCAGAUAAGCGGAAAGUGCUGGAUGACAAGAUUAAACUCAAGGAGGAACAUGAAAAAUUUAAGGUUGAGUUGAAAGCAAUGCGUGAGGCUGCACAGUGGAGAAAGUUACAAGGAAUAUCUAUGGAGGGUGAUGAUGAGCUCCUAGCAGACAUGGAUGUUAAGGUGGCACCAAAAAGAGAUGAGUGGAUGACAACGCUGCCACCUGAAAGGAAACAUGGUAUGCCUCCUACACAAUCAACCAGAUUCAACAAGAGCACUAAAGAAGGACGCGGUGAUACCAGUGCUUGGACUGAUACCCCUUCAGACAGAGCCCAGAAAGCUAAGAUGGGUUACUUGGAGGCGUAUAAUGAGGCUGCAGCCCUUGCUUCAAAUGAGGUGGAAAAGAAAAAGCAGAGUUCAGAUGCAGAGUUGGUGGACAAAUACAAUAACGAAAAACGAUCAAAAUCAUUGGUGCAAAAACACAAAGAGGAGACUGUAAAGCGUUCAAAGAGAAAAGUCAAGCAACAGACAGAGGAGGACUGGGUGGGGAAACAUCCGUGGAAGCCUUGGGAUCGUGAGAAGGAUUUGUCAGGUGGGAGGCAAAGUGUAAAAUUGGAUUCAGAAAACAUGAAUCAAGCUUUAACGUCACGGUUUUCUUCGGGCUCAUUUGAGAGAAACUUCCUUUAGACACGAAUUGAUGAGCAUUCAGGUUUCUCUGAACACUUAUCAGACAAAUUCCUUGUAGACAUGAAUGGAUGAGUUGCCUUGUAUUUGUAGAUGCAUGAUUAUAGUCCUGUCAUUUUUCUUGUUUGUAAACAUGUUAGAUUAGAUUUAUAAUUGAAACAUAAAACACGGAAAAAAAUUAACGAAAUGCGCUUACAGAGAGUAAAA